UGGGCGAAAGCCUGAUGCAGCAACGCCGCGUGUGUGAUGAAGGCCUUCGGGUCGUAAAGCACUUUUCUGGGAGAUGAGAAAGGACAGUAUCCCAGGAAUAAGUCUCGGCUAACUACGUGCCAGCAGCCGCGGUAAAACGUAGGAGGCGAGCGUUAUCCGGAUUCACUGGGCGUAAAGCGCGUGCAGGUGGCGCGGUAAGUUAGGCGUGAAAUCUCCCGGCUCAACUGGGAGAGGUCGUCUAAUACUACCGUGCUUGAGAGCAGAAGAGGAAGAUGGAAUUCCCGGUGUAGUGGUGAAAUGCGUAGAUAUCGGGAGGAACACCAGUGGCGAAGGCGAUCUUCUGGUCUGUUUCUGACACUCAGACGCGACAGCUAGGGUAGUAAACGGGAUUAGAGACCCCGGUAAUCCUAGCCGUAAACGAUGUAAACUUGGCGUUGGUGGGUUAAACUCCAUCAGUGCCGCAGCAAACGCGAUAAGUUUACCGCCUGGGGACUACGGCCGCAAGGUUA
rnacentral:rRNA from 1 species